CCUACGGGUGGCAGCAGUGGGGGAUAUUGCACAAUGGGGGAAACCCUGAUGCAGCGACGCCGCGUGUGGGAAGACGGUCCUCUGGAUUGUAAACCACUGUCCCCAGGGACGAAGAUGACGGUACCUGGGGCGGAAGCUCCGGCUAACUACGUGCCAGCAGCCGCGGUAAUACGUAGGGAGUGAGCGUUGUCCGGAAUUACUGGGUGUAACGGGAGCGUAGGCGGGACUGCAAGUUGGGUGUCAAAUCUACCGGCUCAACCGGUAGCCGCACUCAAAACUGCAGUUCUUGAGUGAAGUAGAGGCAGGCGGAAUGCCUAGUGUAGCGGUGAAAUGCGUAGAUAUUAGGAGGAACACCAGUGGCGAAGGCGGCCUGCUGGGCUUUUACUGACGCUGAGGCUCGAAAGUGUGGGGAGCAAACAGGAUUAGAUACCCGGGUAGUC
rnacentral:rRNA from 1 species